rnacentral:rRNA from 1 species
AUUGAACGCUGGCGGCAGGCCUAACACAUGCAAGUCGAACGAGUGGCGGACGGGUGAGUAAUGUCUGGGAAACUGCCCGAUGGAGGGGGAUAACUACUGGAAACGGUAGCUAAUACCGCAUACCAUCGGAUGUGCCCAUAUGGGAUUAGCUAGUUGGUGGGGUAACGGCUCACCUAGGCGACGAUCCCUAGCUGGUCUGGGAGGAUAACCAGCCACACUGGAACUGAGACACGGUCCAGCCUCCUACGGGAGGCAGCAGUGGGGAAUAUUGCACAAUGGGCGCAAGCCUGAUGCAGCCAUGCCGCGUGUGUGAAGAAGGCCUUCGGGUUGUAAAGUACUUUCAGCGAGGAGGCGUUACUCGCAGAAGAAGCACCGGCUAACUCCGUGCCAGCAGCCGCGGUAAUAC